UACGAAGGGGGCUAGCGUUACUCGGAAUUACUGGGCGUAAAGGGCGCGUAGGCGGCGCUCCAAGUUAGGCGUGAAAGUCCUGGGCUCAACCUGGGAACUGCGCUUAAGACUGGAGUGCUUGAGGAUGGAAGAGGGUCGUGGAAUUCCCAGUGUAGAGAUGAAAUUCGUAGAUAUCGGGAGGAACACCAGUGGCGAAGGCGGCGAUCUGGGCAGACACUGACGCUGAGGUGCGAAAGCGUGGGGAGCAAACAGG
rnacentral:rRNA from 1 species